rnacentral:lncRNA from 1 species
UAGUUAAGGUGAUAUUUUCCUUAUAUAUGAACACAAAUACGCUGAUUUACUUGAUUGAUAUAUUUUUUUUGGUUAAGUAUCAUGCACCUAGUCUUUAUUAUAUACCUAGUUCUAUUCUUGUUUCCUUAUGUGAUCAGGCUUACUUUAUGAUUCCUUUUCUUUUUAAAAUGGCUUCUUAUUACUGUUUUCCUAUGACUCCUUAAUUAAAGGGGAGUCCCUAUGCGUGUGUGAUUAUGAUUGAUAUCAGUUCUUUAAAUAUGAACUGAUACCUUAUUUGCUUACUCUUUUAGUACUAUAAGUACCCUCUCCCCAUUCUCUUUGAAACACAUCAACAUAUUACAUAUCUCUCAUACUGAGGCAUUACAGUCUCUCUAAACUUUCUUUCAAUAACACUCAUUGCUCUCUAUCUCUCUACUGUUUUGUUUCUUUCCUACAAAUUCUCUCACUCAAUCGGCUGAAAGCCAAGAUUGAGUAAUCUUGGUUGUUUACUUCGGCACUACUAAGGUUCUGCUACAUUAUUUGCUUGGGUUUGCAUGCUGCUCUCUUUGUUGUACACUGACAUUCUCUCUUUGCUGCAUAUUGCUGCUCUCACCUUGCUUCUCUCAUUCUCUGCAUACUUUGCUCUCUUUGUGCACUACUGCUCAUUAUUAUUGUCUUCCAUUGUCUGUAACUGGUAUGCUACCUAUUUAAUGUACAGUUUCCAAAACAACAUGUUUUUACUAGUUUUGCACUUUUUCUUGUUCCUUGUGUGCUUUUACCUAUGGUUCUGCUGCUCUUGUUGUCACUAGUAUACACUUACCAGUUUACUCAGUUUAGCUUAGCAUGUUCCCUUACCCUCUUCCCUGCCUCAAUGUAUGUUUUCUUCUUUCCUUGUGUCUACUACCAUGUGUCCAGGUCUGCUUGACUGUUUUAUUAGUCUAAAACAUCUUCCUAAGUGUAGUUAUGUUGGAGUUUGGUACUGAACUCCUAUUUUGCAACCAGGUUUGAUUACUUUUGUCCAAUGUGUUGCCUGUGUGUGAGUAGUUUACUAUGCUUAUCUGUUCCCUCCCUCUUGCC